GAGAAUGCGAUAUGCAGUGUGAAUUGCAGAACCACGAAUCAUUUGAUCUUUGAACGCAAAUGGCGCGGAUAUUUUGUCCGCAUACUUGUUUCAGUGUGCCUCAACAAAUCCCUACUUAAAUGUAAGAGAAAUCUCUCUUAUCAAAUGCAUGCUCCAAUAGCAGUCACAUUUUUUGUGAGCUAGAAAGAGUACUAUUGACUUUAUUGCACCUGAAAUCAAGUAAGAUCACCCGCUGGACUUAA
rnacentral:misc_RNA from 1 species